CCUCCUGCCACACCCAUCGUCCCUGUGGUCCCUCCUACGCCGCCUGUCGUGAAGAAAAAGGGCGUGAAGCGGAAAGCAGACACAACCACUCCCACGACGUCAGCCAUCACUGCCAGCCGGAGUGAGUCGCCCCCGCCGUUGUCAGACCCCAAGCAGGCCAAAGUGGUGGCCCGGCGGGAGAGUGGUGGCCGCCCCAUCAAGCCUCCCAAGAAGGACCUGGAGGACGGCGAGGUGCCCCAGCACGCAGGCAAGAAGGGCAAGCUGUCGGAGCACCUGCGCUACUGCGACAGCAUCCUCAGGGAGAUGCUAUCCAAGAAGCACGCGGCCUACGCCUGGCCCUUCUACAAGCCGGUGGACGCCGAGGCCCUGGAGCUGCACGACUACCACGACAUCAUCAAGCACCCGAUGGACCUCAGCACCGUGAAAGUACGUGGCCGCACGGCAGGCCCUGCUCUGCCCACGUCCUGUGGCUCUGCCGUGGGUGCUGAUGUCUUGUGCCGGCUGAGU
rnacentral:sRNA from 1 species